CAACACUUAAAAAAGUUGUUGAAAAUCUUAAAUUCUGAUUUAAAACAUUUGUAUAAAAAAUGAGUUUUUCUCUAUAUUUCGUUGCAAUCAAAGAAGAAAGAGCAGCGAUUAGUUCUGGAACAUAUUUAUAUUCCUUAAAAUGGAUCUUUUGUGAGGCAGAUAUGCUACUUUAAGAGCCUGCCUAGGAGAUUAAUUGCCAUAAAUCAACGAAUUCAACGAAUAUAACUCAUUAAAAAAUCGCAUUACCAUCAAAACAAAUCUGUACUUUUUCGGACCAGUUCGUUCUCACCAAAGAAAUUCUAGUUCUUUUAAGUACUUCUUCUAACUAGUUUGAAGCUCUUCUGCCGAGAAAUAACAGUAUUGCAUGUGUGACUUGUAAAACUUGGCUAGCGUUGAGUAAAUGUAGCAGGCACAGAUGUUACAGCGGUUGAUUGACGCCGAUGAAGUAGCAAAUUGCAAACAAAUUGAGUGUCAGCGCUUUCCUUCACAAAAACGGCCGCCCAUCGGUUUGCUCACCCAAACAUAUGUAUGCAGCCAUUAUUAAUAAGAAUUAGAAGGCAUACAAGCCCACAGUUCAACACACACACCCACACACUCGUAUUCAGAGAGCUGCGUUAACAAAGUGAAUAUUGCCGAUAAAAAUCAUGCUACUAUUGUUUCAAUAUUUUUCAAAUGCACUUGUUGUUGUUAUUGUUUAUGGCUUGUUGCACGUUGCAAUGGAAAGUGGUGACACAUAUUACGUGAUUUUGCUGCAGGCGCUCCACCAUAAAUUGAGGUCUUCAACGGCGAACGCAAAGUUCAUUUGUUUACAGCAACACCAACACCAACACAAACACGUACUUCAUUAUACACACGCGCCAACCCAAUUGCACUGAAUUGUUGCAUCGCCAGAUUUCAUAUUGUUUCUCUCGAUUUGCAUUGGAAACGCACUUAAUUGAUUUAAUGGAGCAAACACAUACUCACACACAUACAGCUGAACGAGUGUGCUGACCAUGUAAAGUACUUUAAUAACGAAAUUGCAAAAACAACAGCAAAUGAUAGUGAAAUGCUCUGAUUGCCAGCGAGUUGGACGAGUGCAGCGGGUUCAAUGGUAAUUAAUAAAGCAAUUACAAGCUUUUGAAUAAAAAACGGUAAAUUUGCAUUUAUGUAAUAUGCGAGGGGAGCCACACAGCCGGACAAAGGUUGACAUUGCACAAAUAAAAAUAUUAUUUAAUGUUUCACGCUCUCAUCAUUGCGCUAUUGACAUUGUUAUACGAGAUAGUAUAUGUGUGUUCAACACUGUUUCAUUUAUGGAAAAAA